rnacentral:rRNA from 1 species
GAUGAACGCUGGCGGCGUGCUUAACACAUGCAAGUCGAACGAAGCACUUUAUUUGAUUUCCUUCGGGACUGAUUAUUUUGUGACUGAGUGGCGGACGGGUGAGUAACGCGUGGGUAACCUGCCUUGUACAGGGGGAUAACAGUUGGAAACGGCUGCUAAUACCGCAUAAGCGCCCAGCAUCGCAUGAUGCAGUGUGAAAAACUCCGGUGGUAUAAGAUGGACCCGCGUUGGAUUAGCUAGUUGGUGAGGUAACGGCCCACCAAGGCGAUGAUCCAUAGCCGACCUGAGAGGGUGACCGGCCACAUUGGGACUGAGACACGGCCCAAACUCCUACGGGAGGCAGCAGUGGGGAAUAUUGCACAAUGGGCGAAAGCCUGAUGCAGCGACGCCGCGUGAGCGAAGAAGUAUUUCGGUAUGUAAAGCUCUAUCAGCAGGGAAGAUAAUGACGGUACCUGACUAAGAAGCACCGGCUAAAUACGUG